rnacentral:rRNA from 1 species
GGCCUGGGUGGGCGGUCUGCCUCACGGUAUGUACUGUCUGCCUGGGUCUUACUUCUUGGUGAGCCGUAAUGCCAUUAAUUUGGUGUUGCGGGGAAUUUGGACUGUUACUUUGAAAAAAUUAGAGUGUUUAAAGCAAGCUAACGCUCGAAUACAUUAGCAUGGAAUAAUGAAAUAGGACGUUCGAUCCUAUUUUGUUGGUUUCUAGGAUUGACGUA